rnacentral:rRNA from 1 species
UGGGGGAUAUUGCACAAUGGAGGAAACUCUGAUGCAGCGACGCCGCGUGAGGGAAGACGGUCUUCGGAUUGUAAACCUCUGUCUUUAGGGACGAAAAAAUGACGGUACCUAAGGAGGAAGCCACGGCUAACUACGUGCCAGCAGCCGCGGUAAUACGUAGGUGGCAAGCGUUGUCCGGAAUUACUGGGUGUAAAGGGAGCGUAGGCGGGGAGACAAGUUGAAUGUUUAAACUAUCGGCUCAACUGAUAGUCGCGUUCAAAACUAUCACUCUUGAGUGCAGUAGAGGUAGGCGGAAUUCCUAGUGUAGCGGUGAAAUGCGUAGAUAUUAGGAGGAACACCAGUGGCGAAGGCGGCCUACUGGGCUGUAACUGACGCUGAGGCUCGAAAGCGUGGGUAGCAAACA